UACGUAGGGGGCAAGCGUUGUCCGGAUUUAUUGGGCGUAAAGAGCGUGUAGGCGGCCAAACAGGUCAGCUGUGAAAACUCGGGGCUCAACCUCGAGACGUCGGUUGAAACCGUUUGGCUAGAGUCCGGAAGAGGAGAGUGGAAUUCCCGGUGUAGCGGUGAAAUGCGCAGAUAUCGGGAAGAACACCCGUGGCGAAGGCGGCUCUCUGGGACGGUACUGACGCUGAGACGCGAAAGCGUGGGGAGCGAACAGG
rnacentral:rRNA from 1 species